ensembl:lncRNA
GUCCCAGUUAGGACAGGGAUUAGGCAGGUUAGGCAGGAGCCAGAGAACCACUGCUGUAUAGGCUGAGGGAGAUGCUGCAGGGGACGUCAGUCCCAGUUAGGACAGGGAUUAGGCAGGUUAGGCAGGAGCCAGAGAACCACUGCUGUAUAGGCUGAGGGAGAUGCUGCAGGGGAUGUCAGUCCCAGUUAGGACAGGGAUUAGGCAGGUUAGGCAGGAGCCAGAGAACCACUGCUGUAUAGGCUGAGGGAGAUGCUGCACGGGACGUCAGUCCCAGUUAGGACAGGGAUUAGGCAGGUUAGGCAGGAGCCAGAGAACCACUGCUCUAUAGGCUGAGGGAGAUGCUGCAGGGGAUGUCAGUUCCAGGGGCACUAGGUGGGGAGACGGUUUCAUUGUCGGCUUAUUUUGUAUUUUUCCUUUAUUUAACUAGGCAAGUCAGUUAAGAACAAAUUCUUAUUUACAAUGACGGCCUAGGAACAGUGGGUUAACUGCCUUGUUCAGGGGCAGAUCGACAGAUUUGUACCUUGUCAGCUCAGGGAUUUGGUUUAGAAACAUUUCGGUUUCUGGCCCAACACUCUAACCACUAGGCUACCUGCUGCUAUUCUGAUGAUGUAACAGUGUUUGUUAGAGGGGAGGAAGAUGUAGACGAGGUUAGCAGGGCUUUAGUGUUGUUUGAGGGUGCGGCAUCAGCUAAGGUGAACUGAGGUUGGCUGUGAACCUAUAUGUUGCAGGGCCUCAGUAUACUGUAGCCAAAUGAAAUGUUAAAAUUAAAUAAUGUUUGUUUUAAUGAUGUACAGUAAAUAUUUGAGCUAAAUAAAGUUGAUGUAUUUUUGAA